rnacentral:rRNA from 1 species
GACGAACGCUGGCGGCGUGCUUAACACAUGCAAGUCGAACGGAAAGGCCCUGCUUUUGUGGGUUGCUCGAGUGGCGAACGGGUGAGUAACACGUGAGUAACCUGCCCUUGACUUUGGGAUAACUUCAGGAAACUGGGGCUAAUACCGGAUAGGAGCUCCUGCUGCAUGGUGGGGGUGGGAAAGUUUCGGCGGUUGGGGAUGGACUCGCGGCUUAUCAGCUUGUUGGUGGGGUAGUGGCUUACCAAGGCUUUGACGGGUAGCCGGCCUGAGAGGGUGACCGGCCCCAUUGGGACUGAGAUACGGCCCAGACUCCUACGGGAGGCAGCAGUGGGGGAUAUUGCACAAUGGGCGGAAGCCUGAUGCAGCAACGCCGCGUGCGGGAUGGCGGCCUUCGGGUUGUAAACCGCUUUCGCCUGUGACGAAGCGUGAGUGACGGUAAUGGGUAAAGAAGCACCGGCUAACUACGUG